rnacentral:lncRNA from 1 species
GCAUGGCGUCCACCACGGCCGGAUGCGCGCAGAAGCGAUCCGCCCAAGCAGCCAGGUUUGGAACCUUCGCCUCGUCAAGGAGCUCGACGCCGGCGAACUUCUCCACCGCCUUAAUCCAUCCGAGGAACGACCCAAGAGCGAUGUCCAGGUAGCCGAUUUUGUCGCCGCCGAAGUAUUUCUUCCCUUGGCUGCACUUGACAAAUGCCUCCUCCAGAUGCUUCAGAGCGGUGGACAUUUCAACCACGGUUCCUCUCCGGCCACGGUUCCUCUCAACACGCGAGUCCCCCGAGGAAACUGCACACAAAUUAUCCAAGAUGAGAGCAAAAUCAUCCGGCUAAAAAGGAUUAAAAAGAAGAAAAAUUCAGAUGAAUUUGCAGUUUGAGGACGCGCGAGACUGUGUCUGUACUUACCUUGUCGUCGAUGUACUGUGCCCAGAACCGCUCGACGGCGCGGCAGUAUGGGUCACGGGGCAGUAUGGCCGGGGCGCCAUCGGAGGCCGGCCAGACCUCGUCGAUGUACUCGACGAUGAUGAGAGACUCGGCGAGGGGCUUGCCGUGGUGGAGCAGCACGGGGAUCUUCUUGUGGACCGGGUUGGACCGGAGCAGCAGCUCGCUCUUCUUCCCCCUCGUCUCCUGCAACAGCUCGUACUCCUCCACGCCCUUCAGCUUCAGCGCUACCACGACGCGCAUCACGAACGGGCUCGUCCAACUGCCGAGCACGCGCACCGCCGCCGCGGGCUCGGCUGAACCGCUCGUCGACGACGAGGACAUUUUUACUCGAUGUGGCCAAGAAACAGAAGCUGCUGGUUUACUCGAGUUCAGUGAGCAGACUGAAGCUGAUGUGUAGUUGUGCACUAGUUUAGUUUAUAUGGACCGCUUUUUUCUUACUACCUCCGUUCCAUUAUAAGUGCAGUUAUGGUUUUUCGCGCCUAACUUUAACCGUCCGUCUUAUUUGAAAAUUUUUUUUAAAAAAAUUUAAAAACAUAAGUCACGAGUAAAAUACUAUUUAUAUUUUAUCAUCUCAUAACAAUAAAAAUACUAAUUAUAAAGAUUUUUCAAAUAAGACAAACGAUUAAAAUUUGACGUGAAAACCUAUGAUUGUACUUAUAAUGAGGCGGAGGUUGUACUAUUGAAAGCUGCUUUGACGUACGUCGUUGCGUGCGUCAUAGUAUGGCACUAUGGUUUAUCUUGGUGUUUGUCACGCUUGGAGCGGACUGGUUAAUUAGCAGUCUAGCAGUGGGCUGAUGUGUCUCUUGAUGUGUUCUCUUUCGUCAUGUGAAGGGGAUUUUCUGUGGUUGUAGCGAUGGAACACAAUCUCCAUGGCCACUAUUUCACACCCUCAAGCGAUUGCUAUGUCCGCGCCGCUGGCCACCUUCUCCAUCAUUAUUAGGUGAGGCCGGAGAUGAACGAGAGGCAGCACUGACGCUGCUCCUCGUCGUCCAGGCAAUGGCCGCGGUCUCCAGACAGGUUUCUCCUGCAGCGUGCGCUAUACCCCGAUGGCACACGCGCGCGCUUGUGUGCUCCUUAUCCUUUUCCUCUCCUCCUGGUAAAUGCCCGUGCCUGCACCCUCUUCCUCUGCUCUUCGAUCCCCAAUGGCACGGACUCGGACACCAGCAUGGUAAUGGCAGCACUGAGUAGCGACACCGGCAAUGGGGCGGAUGGACAGACUCGCCAGUGGUAUGGCAGACGGACAGAUUGAUCGCUGUAUGACGGCCCGAUCUUAGGUCACAAUAUUUUGGACGGAGGAAGUAGCUAUGUAGGAUUAGAUUUGACAUCAUCUGCGAAUCUAAACAACAUGUUCAGCUUCGUAGUGCUAGGUUACGUCAAAUCUAGUUCAGGUUCAUAGUUGUUGGUGAUGUUAAUCCAAUACAUUUUAGAACGGAGGUAAUAUUUUUGAGUUUGACUUGGUGAUGAAAUAAAUUUAAAGCCUGAUUCUUUAAUUCAAUUCUAAACUUUAACUUGCUCAUUUUUCGUUAGCGUAUUUUUUUAACUUAUUAAAUGGUGUAUUUAUUUCAAAAGUUUUCUAUACAGAAGUUGUUAAGAAAAUCAAAUAAAUAUAUUUUUUUCAAGUUUAAAAUAGUUAAUACUUAAUUAGUUGUGUGCUAAUCAGCUUUCUGUUUUGACAUGCGCUGAAAAUCUGGCUCAGUUUGGAGCGAAGGAUUCAAGGAACGCAGUAGGUGCCCGUCAUUAGCACGUGUUUUUUUAGACAAGUCCCAAAAACAACAGUUUGGGAAGACAAAGCGUAGAGGUUACAACAGAUCAAGUGAUUGUAGGGAGGAAGAAAUUACAUGUUUCCAGACCGGGAUUAUGACCCUGUCUUCAGCGUUGAAACGCACAGCCCAAAACUUGAUCUCGUCUUGGCAUUUUCUCAAAGCUGAACCCAGCGAAGGUUGGACGUUCCGAAAAACCACAUCAAUGCCGGUGAACCCAGAGAAAUAUCUUUGCUGGGUCAUUAGCACGUGUUGCUAGCUUCUACUUUCUUUUGGGAGAAAAGAAGGCACAAGGUACGCGUCACUGAUCAGAUCAUCGACGCAAAAUGUUUUACCAGCAGCUGAGCCAAGUAGGACUACGCAAGCACAGGAUGAUAUACUCUCUGCUUUACUCUGUUUUAUCUGAAAAAACACGGAUGUGGAUUUUCAUCCCUCGAGGGGACAUCCCCUUGUUGUUUGCAUGUCAUCUAAAUAGUUAUCAAAAAAAUUGAAAAAAAUUGACAACAUAAAUUAAUACGAAAUAUAUCACUCCACAAACAUGCAAGACCAAAUUCAACUCCUAUAAGUUGCAACAAAAAUAAUAAAUUAAACUGAAAAUAGUUAUGGCACAUUCGCAACUAUAUUUGUUAUUUUUGUUACAACUUGUAGAAGUUCAGUUUAAACUUGUAUGUUUGUGGAGUGAUAUAUUUCAAAUUAAUCUAUGUUGCUAAUUUUUUUCAUAUUUUUAUGACUAUUUAGGUGACAUGCACGAAAAACACUGCAGGCCGAGGCACCGACUAUAUAUAUAUACCGUGUGACUGCGUCCUCGAUACUUCUUCCCAAAGAGAGCGAGCCGAUCGAGCAGAAGAGAAGCCAAAAGCUCCAAUCUUCGAAACGUGCGUAGAACACUCGAUCGCCAUGGCCGGAGGAGGAGAUGAGCUGAAGCUGCUGGGGAUGUGGGCGAGCCCGUUCGCGCUGCGAGCGAAGCUCGCGCUCAGCUUCAAGGGCCUGAGCUACGACUACGUCGAGGAGGACUUCAAGAACAAGAGCGAGCUGCUCCUCAGCUCCAACCCGGUGCACAAGAAGGUUCCCGUGCUCAUCCACAACGGCAAGCCCAUCUGCGAGUCGCAGGUCAUCGUACAGUACAUCGACGAGGUGUUCCCCGACGCCGGCGUCACCCUCCUCCCCGCCGACCCCCACGAUCGCGCCGUCGCUCGCUUCUGGGCCUCCUACAUCGACGAAAAGGUUGUUACGAUGAUCAUGUACUAGUAGAGUACUCUUCUGUUGAUUAUUACUCCCUUCGUAUUUUAAUGUAUGACGCCGUUGACAUUUUAACCAAUGUUUGACCAUUCGUUUUAUUCAAAUUUUUUAUGCAAAUAAAAAAUACUUAUGUCACGCUUAAAGAACAUUUAAUGAUAAAUCAAGUCACAAUAAAAUAAAUGAUAAUUACAUAAGUUUUUUGAAUAAGACGAAAAGUCAAACGUUUGUUAAAAAGUCAACAGCGCCAUACAUUAAAAUACAGAGGGAGUACUUGAUUUUCUCUUGGCAUUUGUGUGAUUGAUUGGUGUAUACGUGUUCUGUGCGUUUGCAGCUGUUCGGUGCGUGGAUUCCGGUGUUCAGAGGCAAGACGGAGGAGGAGAAGGCGGAGGGGGUGAAGCAAACGUUCGCGGUGGCGGAGAAACUGGAGGGAGCACUGAGCGAGUGCUGCAAGGGGAAGCCCUUCUUCGGCGGCGACACCGUCGGCUACGUCGACGUCGUGCUCGGAGGCUUCGUCGCGUGGGUGCACGCCAUCGAAGAGGUGUUCGGCCUGAACCAGUUCGACGCCGCCAAGACGCCGCUCCUGGCGGCGUGGUUGGAGCGCUUCGACGAGCUCGACGCCGCCAAGGAGGCCAUGCCGGACAUCGGCAGGCUGGUCGAGCUCGAGAAGAUGAGGCAGGCACAGGCACAGGCGGCGGUAUAUUGAAGUUUGAGCGCAACUAUAUUUGAUUAUCGUGUGCUUUGAUAUUUUCGCAGUUUUUGGCUGUACGCCUGUACCUCUUAUUGUUUCUGCAACCGUGUUUCAUCAGUUCAUGUUGCCGCACCGUGUAUGUUUCUCCAUGUGUCGCUGAAGUUGCCAACUGGGUAUUCUACAACGUGUUACGUCCAUAUUGGUAUGUUGAUUAGUUUGGAGAUGGAUUUUUAUCUCUCGACCGGACGUUGUCUCAUUUUUACAUAUCACCUAAAUAAUAAUUAUUUUUUAAAAAAAUCUAUAAUAUAGAUUAAUAUGAAAUAUAUCGCUCCACAAAUAUCCAAAGUCAAAUUCGACUUCUACAACUUACAACAAACAUAACAAAUUAAACUGAAAAUAGUUAGUGUACAUUGUCAGUUAUACUUGUUAUUUUUGUUACAGCUCGUAGAAAUCGGAUUUGAGGUUACAUGUUUAUAGGGUGAUAUAUUUCAUAUUAAUCUAUUUUGCUAAUUGUUUUUUCAGUUUAUAGUAUCAUGCAAGAAACGAGAGAUAACUUUUAGAUUAGGUUCAAUAAUAUUUAUUUGAGUGGAUUGCACAUUAGGCUACAUAUAUUUACCUAAGUUUUAAUGGGCCAUCCUCUAACGUGUAGGAAAAUUUCCAGCUAAUUAGGGGUUAAUAUAAUAUAAUUCAAAUUUAAAUUGUUAAGUCAAACCGGGUUUUGGAAGUUGGAAUAACCUUGGUAGCACCAGGAUCUUGCAUGUUGAGAACAAUCCCUGCUCCCGUAGUUCACGUUGUAGUGAUGUCAUACUCGCUAGUCGCUACUACUUGCGAAACAAGAUAUCAGGGAAAUUCAUUAAUUUCAUGAGUUGUUUUUCACAUCAAGUCAAUUAUAGAGAAGUCUAAAAAUCCAUAGGGUUAAGUUCAAUUUUGCCCUACAACUUUGCUCAAAAUCCAUUUUCACCUUUAACUUUGUUUUUCACCUUCAACUUUUAAAACUCAACACUUUACACCCUAAAGGCUUAAACAUAUUUUAGGAUGGUUCUGAUCAAUAUCUAUUGUUUUUUUUCCCUGAGCUUCAUUCAGGUAGGUUUUAUAGUUGUGGACCACUUAUAACUGAUAUCUACAUCAACAAAACUAGCCACAUAUAGUCACGCUUUGCGCGACUUUUGAUCCUGUUUAAGAACUUUUCUAUAUGGUCUAUUUAAGCUUAUAAGAGAGUUUUGACAUAAUAAAUUAAUUUCUUUACGAAGUAUUGAUUUUCCUAGCCAACUAUAGAUUUAACUAAAUUGCACUAUAUAUUUAUAAGAGAAAUCACUAGAAGCCCUGUCACGCCCCGAACUAGUACCGACCGGAACUAGCCCGUGACGCUCCAAAUUAACCUGUUAAUUGAUACCAGUCCCAGGAAACAGUGCUGGUAUCACGGAAGACAGAAUAUCACAGCAACAGAGGUCUCUUUAUUAUAGAGUAGGAGUACAGUCAUGUUGGGCUGCGGACAGAUCCCGAGCUCACAACUGUAUUACAAAAGGGAAACGGAAGCCAAGACUUGGGCCAAACAACACAGGCGCGACUUGGGAACUAGGCCGAAACCCUAAAACUCAUCGUAGCCGGCUUGCUCCUGGAAGAACUCCUCAUCAGCAGGAUCCGCUUCAUCUUCUUCAGCAACUGGGGGGAUUAUUUAUAUAGAGCAAGGGUGAGUACAGGAGUACUCAGCAAGCCAUGGGAAAUAAGUGUUUAAUGCAGGCUUCAAGGGAAGGGCUGUUGUUUUUGCGAUUGAUUUUAUUUGAACUCUUUUCUGAAAACAACUAAGUGAGUGCUUCUCAAACGACACGGAUGAGACAGUGCGUCUCGUCCGGUCGGAGUAUGUGCAAUGUAUCAGUCUUUAAAAUUGAUCAAGAUUGGCACCCGGCCAACAACUUUCAAACGGCCACCCAGGCCAACAACUUUCAAACGGCCACCCGGGCCUAGCUGAUCCCAUCAGCUGCAGAUUUUUCAAACAUCGAACCCCUUUCCACAUCAGCAAUUUCACAAGGCAGUAGGCAAACAAAACUACGCUAGGAAUCACCUCACAUCCACCCAUGACCGUGGGCACGGCUGUUCGAACAGUUUGUUAACCUCUGCAGAGGGGUACACUUUACCCACACGACAUUACUAACCCGGAUCACCCAGCCCGUGGGGAUCAGCCACGUCGGGAGACCUCCAAGCUUUCAUGACAAGGCAUUUCCAAAGCCGACACAGGUUUACCAUAUGCCGACGAGAGGGGUCCCAGACCAACAAUAGGUUAGGUCCCAGACCAUACUGUGCCAGGAAGCCCAGGGGUCCUCCCCGACACCACCCCGGCGAAUCCACAUGUCUCUCGGCAUCAAGGCUCCCCUGAUAAGCUAGUUACUCAGCCAGGGGUGUCCCAUUCCACCCAUGUGGUCGUACUUGUCUUAUGUUCGGAUGAAAUUCCAAGGAAACGGUCCUUAAGUGCAAGAGCGGGAAACCGUACACCCGGUACGUUCCCCGGUCCGCGGUUUUAGAAAAUUCAUUUAGUUCGCAAGCACCGACCCAGGUGUCGGGUUUUCCAAGUCUUUUGUAAAACCCAAGUUUUACCCAAGAAGUUUUUCAGAUUUUAAGUUUGAAGGCGACCGUCGAUACUCGUGCAGAGUGCACGAUUUCCGAGGCGCAACUGGGUGGUUACAAGGGAACAUGGCAUAACAAUUAACAAAGGAAGGAUCAAAUGCAACAAACUAGGUAGGUCCGCCAAUCUGCCUUGCAGACGGGACAAACAGAUUAAGUGCGAUCCUAUCAAUGCAUAAUAUUUUUCAAGCAACAUAAUUAAAUUCAGAUAUAGGCUCAAGAUGUUCAAAGGUGGCUUGCCUUGCUCGAGAUCUGGAGCUUGAUCUUCGAAAUCCUCGCACUGCGGGUCUUCGGGCUCCGAAACUACACGCAAAACGGGACGACUCAACAAACGGCGAAAAUAAAGCCCUAUUAAUGACCUCUAAGCGUGCCAUUAGAUAGAUCUCGAGAUUUGAGGAAUUUUGGAAGUUGAACGGAGUCAAACGGAUUUACGGUUGGGAAGAUAUUGAAUUUCUAAGAUUAUUGGAUUUUUGGUCUAAAGGAAAAGGAUUUAAUUAAAUCCUUUUUGAAAAAGAAAAGAAAAGAGGGAGGGAAAUUAGACUUCCCUCGGGCGGCAAGGGCGCGGCCCGAGAGAAAGGAGGCGGCUCGGCCGAGCUAAAUGGGCCGGCCGGCCCAAAGCGCGCGCGCGGGAGGAGAAGAGAGAGAGAGCCGGUGGACCGAGUCCAUCUCGCGUGGUCCCGGGUGGGACCCGCUUGUCGAUGACACGGUUCACCAUGCGGAGGGAGUACGCGGCGCGGCGCUAGGGUUUGGGGGAGGGACGCGGCGCACGCGCGCGGUUCGCGGUGGACGCGGAUGCGGCGGGCCCACGCGCACGGGGAGGGGCUGACCGGGGUCGGCUCGACCCGGUCUUGGCCGAGCUGGCGCCGACGUGGCGCCUACGUGGCUGCCACGCGGGCCGGCGGGAGGUAGACGACGACGCCGGCCGGAACGGACGGCGGACGACAGCGGCGAGCGGCGGAGCGAACCACGUCUAUACAGGCGAAAACGAGCACACCGGGUGGUUGCACAGGACGAGGGGAGACGAGCCAACGGCUCGGAUUCGCCGGAGGAUGCCCGACGGUGGCGAAUUGCGGCGGCGGCAACCGGCGGUGGGAGAAGGGGGAAACGGCGACGAGGUCACGAGGGGCCGAUUCCCGGCGGCGAGAGCAUCUACGCGGCUACGGGAAUCCGAUGCUAGCGUUGGAUUGGACGGAGCUGCGCCGAGCGAGGCUGGCGAUGAGCAGCGCUUCCGAGCUCGGGCGGCGACGGCGGCGAGCACACGGCGAGCGGCGGCAACGGUCGGGGCGGCGCCGGCUAGCUACGGGGAGGCUACUCGUGCUACUACCCGAGUCUAAGGGGAGGAGAUGGAGCAAGGGGGGAGAACGGGGAGAUGCACUACCGUGCGGGCGGGCGCAGUGACGAGAGGCCGACGGCGCGGGAGUGAUCUCUCCGGCCUCGGGCCGGGGAAGAGGAAGGAGAGGGCGCGCCCGGAGUCCCCCUUCCGCGUCCUUGCUCGUGCCGGCUCCUCCGACACGCGCAACGACGAACGGCGACGGCGAACAGAGCAUGGGAGGCGGCAACAAUGGAGUGGAGGUGAUGGGACAAGGAGAGGAGAAGAGAGGAAGGGCGCCUGGGCUUUAUAGGGCGGCGAUGUCGGUUUGGAAACCGACGUUGGGCGGUCAAGGGAGGGAGCUCGCGCUCGGUGGUCGCGGCCAAAGCGGCGACAGGGGGGGAUGACGCCGGCGGGAGGAAAAAGGGGAAAAGAGGGAGAGAAAAGGGGGCUUGCCCCCUUGCCUCUUCGGGAAAAAGGAGGAGGGAGCGGGGGCGACGUGGCAGAGGGAAGAGGAGCUCUGCCUCCGUCCCUUGGCAGCUUGCGCGUGGAGUGGCGGGGGCCGGGCGAUGACGACGGCGAUGACGGCGGGGCGGUGUGGAGCGGCGGACACGGGCGACAGGCGCGGCAGAGGCUGACGGCGGCGGCGACCAGGCGGUCGGCCACCACGGCACGCGCUCGCGGGAAGCAACGGGCGGCGCGGUGGUUUGAGCGGCGCGGCUCGGGCACGCGCGCUGGCGUGCGGGGCCGAGCGGCUGCGCGGCUACAGGCGCGGCAGGGCAGCGGGGCCGGGCGGCGCAGACGGCGCAGGCGCGGCAGGGCAGCGGCCACGCGGGCGCGCGCACGUGAGGGGGGAGGGCUCGGCUCGGCGCGGCUCACGCGCACGCGCGCGCGGCGCGCGGGCAGAGUGGAGAAGAGGGAGAAAGAGAGAGAGAGAGAGAGACCCGGGGAGGGAGGGGGAGAUGGGCCGAGAGAGAUUCGGCCCAUCGAACCCGAGGGAGGCAAAAUAGACUUUUGCGGAGGAAUUGAUUUGGGAAGGAUUUGGAUUCGGGAUUGAACUCGGCGAUAGAUCGGGGAUUUGAGAUCUGAGAUGGCACGGAUAGUAGACAACAAGCGAAGAAACAAAUUUCGCAAUUAGGGUUUUUUAAGAGAGAAUUUUCCCGCUAGGCGCCACGAUGGAACGGGCGCUACAAGCCCCGUGUUUCUUCUUUCUCUAUCCCCUCUCUUUAUUAUCACGCGUCUAGGAGGAGGUACCAGAAAUCUCUGGAAAUUUCCAUAUGUUUAGCCAACUAUAGAUUUAACUAAAUUGCACUAUAUAUUUAUAAGAGAAAUCACUAGAAGCCCCGUGUUUCUUCUUUCUCUAUCCCCUCUCUUUAUUAUCACGCGUCUAGGAGGAGGUACCAGAAAUCUCCGGAAAUUUCCAUAUGUUUAGCUCAUUUGUGUUUUUUUAAUACAUGUACCAUUUCAAUCGAAUGGCCAUUGUUUAUCCAAAUCCUUUAUCCGACGGCUAAUAUGUUUGUGAUGAUGUGGUGCAUUCUUGUAUAAGAAAGCCUACUACUUUCACUAUAUAAGACUAGAAAAUUAGGCACGCACGUUGGCAUGCCAACUAUUUAGCCCGUGUGCUAGUUAGAGUUAUUUUUAAAAUGCAUGAAAGGCAUAAUAUUUUUAGAAUGCAUGAAAGACAAAAUAUUUGAACAGAUUAGCUAAAAAAUUGUUGACAUGUAUAUUUUUUUGAAACGGUCGAUUUGUCAACCAUCAGAUUCACGUCGAAUGACAAAUGUGAGUUACAUAUAGAUAACUAUAUUAUAGAUAUUCUUUUAAAUGAUAUUCUUUUAUCAACGAUCCUUGUAGCAAAGUCUGUUGCACUUAUGAAAAAUGAAAAACAUCACAUUUUCCAUCCACGCUUUUAAAUUUUCAUAUUUUUUCAUCAAACUCACGAAAUUGAGAAGAUAUAUUAAUUUGGUCAUGAAGGAAGAUACUUAUGAUUCCGACCUUGCUGGUUGAACACAACAUCCACCAAUCGACCAAUCGAUCUCCUUUUUUACUGUUUCUCUGAUGGAAUGAUUAAUUUGAAGGAGAAGAAUGGUUUGGAAGGUUCCGGAUUUGGUCUAAUAUGCUAAUCUCUUUUUUCUAGAUUUACUUUUCUUCUCUCAUGAAUAACUUGGAGAUUUAUUUGAAAAAUUACUGCUAGGUAAAAACCGCCAACUUUAGUAAGAUAGAUAGAUUACUUUAAUAUCUUUGGGGUUUUACUUUAUUACAGAAAUCACGUCUAAUAAUGAAAAACUAUGAAAACUAAAAAAGAGAAGGCCGAAGCCGACGAUGGGCUGGGCGAAGUGUGCGACGGGCGGCCUGAGUAGGCUGACAGAGCGGAGCGGCGGCAAUCGUUUCCUACUCGUCUCUCACUUCUCUGGCAUGUGGGUGGCAGAUGGUGUGGAGCGCGAAGUGGGGUGGAGUGGCCGGAGCAGGCUGGCAGAGCGGAAAGGGACAGGCAACGGCGACCGCUCCCUACUCCUCUCUCCCUUACCCUUUUUGUCAUGUGGGCGGUAGAGGGCGUGGAACGUGGAGCGGUGGGAGCGGAAGAUGACGAAGCCGAAGCAGAAAAACACGGAGUGGAGGUCAUCGACUUCGAUGCUCCAACCGAGGCCGUGGAUGAAGAGUGUCCUAGUCGCGGGGUCGCCCUUCGCCGCGCGCCACACUGUCGCCAUCUUUGCGAUGUCCUCAACGUCGUCGUCCCCUCUGGCAUCAUCCUCCCCCUUGACGUUUGCCCUCCGCUCUUGGCUCCGUGGGGUUGUCGGUGAUGGAAAGUAGAUGGUCUCGCGGGGCUUGAGCUCUGAGGAGGGCGUCUCUUGGAGCGGAGCGGGCAGUGGGCGGAGCGGCGGCAUCGCAGGCUCGAUCUCACCGCCCCUACACCAAUCUCCCACCUCCCUCGCCAGCUUCCCCACCUCAUCCCUCUCUGUGCGCGCUUGUCGGUGGAGAACGGAGAGAGCGCCAGUGGAGAGAGAGAAGAUAGAGCUUAGGAGGAUGAGGUGAAGGAUGUGGGACCCACUGGGUCCCACUAUUUUUUGUUUUAUUGUUGGACUGACAUAUGGGCAUCACAUAUUUUUUAAAAAUUCUUUAGUUUUCAAUUUUGCUCGUUUUAUUUUUGGAUCAAAUUGCCACAUAAACGCCACGUCAAUACCACAUAGGAUGAAGACCUAGUCAAACAAUCCACGUAGGCGCCAUGUCAGCCAAAAUCGAGGUCAAAUACUGCCGAGGACCUCGUUUGCACUGGUUUUGUAAGUUGGAGAAUGUGUUGUAUCCAGAUUUCUAAAAUGAGGAUGAAAAUUAGACUGGACGACAAAUUAAGAGACUUAAAGUGAACUUAUUCCUUUUAUCACGUAGCAUGUCAUGGGCGGCUGAAUUGGUCCGCAAGAUGAGUGUGGGGGGAGAUAAGUAUGGCCCAUACCAAGGCACGAGCACGCAGCUUCGAUGGAUCAUGGCCCAGCCAAACACGCCCGCGCGUAGCAACGGAGCAAUGCUAGCGGCGUUUCUCGAAAUUGGGACACGUAGUGUCAGCAAAUUUGACGCCGAUCGAAUCUACCAAUCAGCCUAUUGACCCGCCUCGUAUUACUUAGCCCGUGCAUAAUGUCUAAUAGAUUUUUCAGAAUUGCUACUCUACUGUCGUAAGAAAAGUGAAGGAAAAUCUUUUGAAUUUUUAGCCAUCGGAUGGAUGGUGAGAUUCUCGCGCAUGAUUGGAAAUACUGUCUAAAAGAUUCUCGAAAUUGUUGUUCUACUAUCCUAAGAAAUUUUAAUUUUUAAAUUUAAAUCAUGUCUAAAUACAUUUAAUGAUAAACAAUUCAAUACUAAAUAAUUACAUAAUUUUACUUUUUAGUAAGAUGGAUGUAUUAACAGUGUUAAGAAAAUAGAAGUGUCAAUUUUAUUAAUCUUAGGCGCUGUUAGGCACAUCAGAUCUUAAAUUCAUAGUAGUUCGAAAAGUUUGUAUGUUUGAUUUUGGUGUUUUAAAAUUUCAAAUUUUAUUUAAAAUAGGAAUAUAAUGAUUUAACCAAAUGUUAUAAGCGUAAUCACAAGUAUCCAUGCAUUUGUGAAGUUAGGGAUACCAGACUCUAAAUAAAUCUUAGAUCCAGAGUGUGCUAAAGAGACACCCUAGUUCUUUUUAUAAUUUUGUAAUUGUUCGAUAGUUUUAAUUUUUGAUGACUUGUUUUGCCAAACAUUUCCUAUUUAUUUUUCAUAGUUUUUCUUUUCUUUUUGGUUUUUAUACCGUCAAAGUUGGUUCAGUCCACACAGAUAUAUUACAUGCUCUCGUGGGCCUGUGCCGCUAAAGUGGCUGUUUUUAGCUGAGUCUAACUCCCAUAUAUUUUUCCGCGUGCACACUUUCCAAAUUAUUAAACGGUGUAUUUUUUAAUAUAUAUAUAUAUAUAUAUAUAAAGUUAUUUUUAAAAAUCGUAUUAAUUCAUUGUUACAAAAAAUCUAACACUUAAAUAAAUAUGCGCUAAAGAGUUGAAGGAUCGGUCUGGUACGCCUACAUACACGAAGAAUCUAGAGGAGUGUAACCACGUGAGGUGGCCUGAGAAAUUAAAUCAGCAUGCUAUUCUCCAAAUUUUUGCCACGUGUCACGAAGUUAUUUGGCUACCUAUCCACCAAUCAGCUGGCAAGGAGAUUGGCCAGCUUUAGAUAUGUAGAUAAAAUAAGAUAAGAUAUGUGCAAAAAGAAUGUGAACUAAGAAAACCAUCUCCAUUCAAACAAAACCACUAAAAAUAUAUCCUUAGAGUUUUUUUAAUAUGUUUUCUUAGAAUUUUGGAAAACAAAUUACCGGUUUUGUAUUUCAGAUAGAAAAAUGGACUUUACCUCUAUGCUAUAUCAUUUACAAAUUCGGUUUAUACGCAAAAGAACAUGUAUGAUUACGAAUAAUGUGCGUGUCACAGGUAUAUUUGUUUUUAAAAAUUUGUAUAAAUCAAUUUUUAAACUUGCAAUAGAACAAUUUCUGCGUCUAGAUAGAACAUUCAGAAGGAGUGGAAUAAAAUAAUUUUCUAAAAUCAGGUGCUGGGGGUAUUGUAAUACUACAGGUGUUACUUCACAUCACUGAGGACAUCAAUCAGUGGAGAUUGACAUUUCAAAAAUACAAUUUAGUUUUUCAUUUUUUUUCUAUCCUCUUAUUGAAACAGGUGUUACUACAUCACAUCACGGAGGACGUCAUUCAGUAGAACUUAACCUUCCGAAACACAAUUCAUUUUUUUUUUGAACAUUUUAGUUCUAUCGUACGUUGAUCACCCUACUGUGGGGGAAUAGUUGAAGAAGAAUCCCCGCUGCUACCUUCCUUGUGACCGAGUAGGCUCUUCGGUGGCACACUCUGGCAACGGUAAGGCGAAGGGAUGGGAAGGGAGGCUGCGCGGCGGUGCGCCGCCCGUGAGGACGACGCGGGGGCCCUCGGGUCCUCUUCGUUUCGCACUACCCAGAGAAGAAUUACAUGAACAAAGUAGUAUGACAUAGUUGUUCUUUUAGAUAAUAAAAAUGGUUUACAUACCCGGCUUCUACCCUAAGACACAUAACCAUUGUGCAAUAAAUUAAAAAGAGACGAUAAGUAAUGGGACAAAUCCCCAACACUGCUUUAUUAUUAAAUAAUAGUUUAAAUAAUGUUAAACCAUAUAUAUUCAGGAAGCAAUAUUCUAGUUAACAAAGUAGUAGCACAUACAUAAACAAAGUAGUAUGACACAACUUGAGAGUAGCAGCAAAUUAGGACACAUAAAAUUGUUAUGGGGUGCUUAUUACUCCUUAGAGCAAGUAUAAUAGUGAGCUAUAAGCCUACUAUAAGCUUAUGUGAAGGAGAGAGGUAAACAAAAGAGAAGGGUGUUGGCUCUCAUGCAAGAGCUAGCUUAACACAAGCUUCAAGACAAAUACAUUAAAUGUAUAAGUGAGAGAUAGAGAUAGGAGAAGAAAAUUAUAGCUAAUCUUAUAGCUAAUCUAUUAUAUGUGUUGACUUUAGGAUGGGCUAAUAGUAAGAAGUGGACUAUAUUAUUAUCCUUGCUCUUACAAAGUUACGAUAGUUAUGGGGGCUGAUGGCCACUAAACAGCAUCUUAUUGAUAUGCGUGUUAGUCAAAAGGUCAUUGUUAAUUUAAUCGUUCUUUCACUAAUGACCAUAGUACAGGCAACACGAAGCACGUUGAAACGUACGGUGAAACUCAACCAAUUGGUGAAAGCAGCAUCCGAUCCAUUCCAUCACUUGGGAACAUUCACAGCCCUCAGCAACGCAGCAUGCUGAACCGUGAACUCGACCAACCUAUCGGCGUCAGGCACGACGUCCACCACGGCCGGGUGUGCGCAGAAGCGAUCUGCCCAAGCAGCCAGAUUCGGAACCUUGGUCUCGUUGAGGAGCUCGACGCCGGCGAUCUUCUCCACCGCCCUGAUCCAUCCGAGGAAUGACCCCAGAGCGAUGUCCAGGUAGCCGAUGUUGUCGCCGCCGAAGUAUUGCUUCCCUUGGCUGCACUUGACAAAUGCCUCCUCCAGAUGCUGCAGAGCGGUGGACAUUUCGCCCGCGGCU